rnacentral:rRNA from 1 species
GCUUAGUAGCGGCGAGUGAAGCGGCAAAAGCUCAAAUUUGAAAUCUGGCUCUUUCAGAGUCCGAGUUGUAAUUUGAAGAAGGUAUCUUUGGGUCUGGCUCUUGUCUAUGUUUCUUGGAACAGAACGUCACAGAGGGUGAGAAUCCCGUGCGAUGAGAUGAUCCAGGCCUAUGUAAAGUUCCUUCGAAGAGUCGAGUUGUUUGGGAAUGCAGCUCUAAGUGGGUGGUAAAUUCCAUCUAAAGCUAAAUAUUGGCGAGAGACCGAUAGCGAACAAGUACAGUGAUGGAAAGAUGAAAAGAACUUUGAAAAGAGAGUGAAAAAGUACGUGAAAUUGUUGAAAGGGAAGGGCUUGAGAUCAGACUUGGUAUUUUGUAUGUUACUUCUUCGGGGGUGGCCUCUACAGUUUAUCGGGCCAGCAUCAGUUUGGGCGGUAGGAGAAUUGCGUUGGAAUGUGGCACGGCCUCGGUUGUGUGUUAUAGCCUUCGUCGAUACUGCCAGCCUAGACUGAGGACUGCGGUUUAUACCUAGGAUGUUGGCAUAAUGAUCUUAAGUCGCCCGUCUUAAAA